AAGGGAGACCUAAUUCAGGUAGGAGACGAAAAAAAAGUAGUGGCUACCAAGAAUCAAUCCCAAAAGGUCGGAACGAGGCAUGAGGCUUUCAAACUAGGUUCUGGGUUCAUAAAAGACCUGAAUCAGGAACAAGGGCUAUUAGCUCAGGUGGUUAGAGCGCACCCCUGAUAAGGGUGAGGUCCCUGGUUCGAGUCCAGGAUGGCCCACCUGCACAGGUGGCAAAAACAAGAGAAGCGAGGAAUCAGCACCUUAUCUUAUUUAUAUAUAAGAGAGAAUGCUGGCUCUGAGUACAGAGUCCAGAGGAACCUUGAAAACUGCAUAGAGCUAGGUGAAAAAGCCAAAAAAGAAGACCGCAAGGUCAAGCUAAUAAGGGCUAACGGUGGAUACCUAGGCAC
rnacentral:tRNA from 1 species